rnacentral:rRNA from 1 species
GAUGAACGCUGGCGGCGUGCCUAAUACAUGCAAGUCGAGCGAACAGACGAGGAGCUUGCUCCUCUGACGUUAGCGGCGGACGGGUGAGUAACACGUGGAUAACCUACCUAUAAGACUGGGAUAACUUCGGGAAACCGGAGCUAAUACCGGAUAAUAUAUUGAACCGCAUGGUUCAUUGGUGAAAGAGGUUUUUGCUGUCACUUAUAGAUGGUUCCGCGCCGCAUUAGCUAGUUGGUAAGGUAACGGCUUACCAAGGCAACGAUGCGUAGCCGACCUGAGAGGGUGAUCGGCCACACUGGAACUGAGACACGGUCCAGACUCCUACGGGAGGCAGCAGUAGGGAAUCUUCCGCAAUGGGCGAAAGCCUGACGGAGCAACGCCGCGUGAGUGAUGAAGGUCUUCGGAUUGUAAAACUCUGUUAUUAGGGAAGAACAAAUGUGUAAGUAACUAUGCACGUCUUGACGGUACCUAAUCAGAAAGCCACGGCUAACUACGUG